rnacentral:lncRNA from 1 species
UCGCAGUUUGACUUCCUUCUUCCUUAUGUGCACCCCCAUAGUUGCUAAAAUUGUCAGCUAGUUCAUUUUGCUCCAAUAAAUAUGCAAGACUGGUGGAUCAUUCAGCUGGCAGAGGAGAUAUCUGCAAUCAUCCAAGCGUUGUGAGUAAAGUAAAUUCGAACAAGUCAAUGUAUGUGCCACUUCAUGGGCAUCAAUAUUUAUUUUCUAUUUUAGAAAUCUGUAUCACAUGACGUAUAAAAGUGUAUAUACAUACACCUUUAUACCUUAUUAUUCAUUGCAUAGACAUUAUAUGUACAAGUAAUGUGCCUGCUUUGUAUAACCAUGUAUAUAUACAUUAUACAAAUUGCGUGAAAUUUGUCACGUAGGAUGUGUGUGCCUAUUUGUUCAACUUUAUUACUAUAAUUUAAGUGCCUAAUUGUGCACCCCCAAAGCCUGAGGGCAUGGAUGCCAGUUGAGGCCAAGUUUAUGUAUCAAUAGAUGGAGAUUCCAUCAAACAAACUCUAGUAGCACAUUUUCAGUAGUAAUAACUCAAAUAUUCAGAGAAUGAUCUAACCAUUCAUUUAUGAGAAAAUCCUCAAUUUCAAGAACACUGAUGUGAUAGUCUUACCAUAUAGUAUUGAAGUUUUUGUUGUCUGCUGAUGCUUGCAAUAAAGGAAACAAGUGACACAUCUAAUGCCUAGAUGAACUAGCAGCAAAUGGAAUGACACUAAAAUAUCAAAGAAAUUGGAGUAAAAAAUCAUUACCUUGCUUGGUCCCGGAAGUAUUUAGAGGACCCUGCAGACAUUAGCAUGCUUCCUCAUUUUUAUGUUAGCCAAAGCAUGUUGCUUAAAUACUCCUGGUGAAACAGCUAACGUACAAAUUCAAGCCAUAAUAUUCUGCCUGUUCAUUUCAAAGUUUUUUCCAAAUAUGGGAAUAGUUCUGUGGUCCUGAGUGUAAUAAUAAUAACAUGAGGCAGGCAGAAUAGUAAGCUGGUACAAAAAAAGCAAAUGAGAACUAAAUACUUGGCAUAUGCAGCAUUCUGUAUCAAACAACUAAUUGAUAGUCUCCACCAAAUAUUGAAGUGUUUGUAGUCAGUUGAUGCUUGCAAUAGAGGAAACAACAAGUGACACAUCUAAUGCUUAGAUGAUUUAGCAGCAAAUGGAAUGGUAAUGACACUGGGAUAUCAAAGAGUCCAUAUGUAUUAUUGAUCAAGUUUAUUCCAAAUAUGGAAAUAGUUCUGUGGUCCUGAGUGUAAUGACGAUAACCCGAGGAGGGCAGAAUAGCAAGUAGGUGCUUUACAAAAGCAAAUGAGAACUAAAUACUUGGCAUAUGCUAAACUUGAGCCUGAGGGUCCACCGGAAACAACCUCUCUACCUUCAAAAGAUGGGUAAAGCUAGUUACAGGCGGAGCCAGGAUUUUUUCUUAGGGGGUUCAAAAUCUGAAGAAAAACUCAUCGAAGGGGGUUCAACAUCUAGAAUAUAUAAAUAAAAAUUAUUUUAAUCAUGUAUUAAUAAUAUAAUUUUUCGUCGAAAGGGGGUCCGAACCCCCUUUAAUAGGCUAGCUCCGCCUCUGAAGCUAGUAACACACCACCAACCCCGGAUCCCACUUGUAGAAUUACACUGAUAUGUUGUUGUAGAAAAGACAGGCCGAACUUACAGGCUGACACCCAAGUUUUCACGUUCUGGUACAUCAGCCUUCACAGGCUCUAAAACAUAAAAAGCCGGAAAUCUUGUCAUCCCAAUCCAAUUAGUAAACAACACAAAUAUUUGCAAGGAGGAGAAAAAAAAAUGAAUAGCAAAACUCCAGAUUUCGAAACAUGUAUGUGCAAGUGAUGUUGAGAGCGAGGAAUGCAACGUGGGAAGAGAGCAAUUCUCGAGUGCGGUGAACAUGAGCCAUUAAGGAUCAAUCAUUAUACGAUUUUUCACAAUCAGUUUUAAGCUAGA